AGAAUCAUUUUUUUGCACAGCUGAUGCGGUUGUACAAAAAGGGGAAAAUAAACCAUGCAAGUGGGUAGAAAAUAAGUGACAAAAACUUGUCACAGUUCCGCUUUAAAGGUCGUAUUGGUUUGUCCAGCUUGAAGUUGACAUGUUGACAACGGCGUAAAAUUAGAAAGGCCUAGACGAGAAUCGUAGAGGUCUCGGUAGCGUCUGAUCGGGAUCAACAUGUUGCUGUUUUUGCUAACAGUCGGCCUAGCUGGCUUUCUCUCGCCCUCAUAUGCAGUUGUAUCAGGCAUUGAGUGUUAUUCGUGCCACGGUAUCAUCGCGCUGUCUCCACUCUGCGGAUCGCGCUGCGAUGACGUAGUGGACGUCAACAAAUGCGGCGAAGUGCUUGACUUGUCUCAAACGACCAACAAAACGACGUGCGACGGUGUUUGUCAGACUAAAACAACAUAUCACAUGGACGAGAAGAUAUACGUUGACCGGUCAUGUGUUCCAAGGUGUGAGGAUGACUGUUUCUUGACCUUUGGCACCGGAGCCUGCUUCUCCUGCUGCGAAUCCGACCUCUGCAAUGCGGCCAAUUGGAGAGCUGCAUCUUCGUGGUUGCUUGGCCUGGCUGCUAUGGUAACUGCAACCUUAUUGCUGCUUUAGUUCAUACAUUCAAGUACAUGUACAUAUACCUGCAUAUGCAUAAAUUUAUCACUGCUGGAGAAUAUGAAAUAUUUAAAGACACCAUGUUGAAAAACUCAUUACUACUGCAAGCACUGAGGAGUUUAUUUAGCACGCCAAUGAUUUCAUGGGAUUUCUGUCAGAGGCAAACUGCGCGUUACAAUUUGAAAAUUGUUACUAGGAUACAUAGCAGCAAAAUCACUCUAAAAAGCACUCUCACCUUUCAAAAAUAUAUUUACAGGGAACACAUUUUGCUCAUUUCAUCCCAACUGUACACAAAAUUUGCUUCUGCAUCUGAACAAUAUCUCUCAAAAUAUCUGAUCUGUGAAAUUCCUUGACUUGGUGUUCAAUAUUUAGAAACUGGCUUUGAAUUCGAUUUUAAUUAAGAAACUGGCUUUGAAAUGUAAUGUUUCUACAUGACAGCCGUUUCUAAAAGUAACUUUCAUCAGGUCAUAACUCUUGAUGUGGGGGGGUUGCCAACAAAAAAAAUCAAGUUCUAGAAAAAGAUGGCGGGAACCUCUGAUGGGAAGAUUUUUCAUGGACUGUGUCAAAUUAUAUCAAAAUCAGUCUGAGAAUCUUUACGGUAAAUUUUGUCUUGACAUAAAGAUUUCUUCAGACAAAAAUGCUUAGAAUGAAACUCCUCUCUGAGACAUUGUUUACUUGGACAUGUUUGGAAGGUCUAAGGCAACUUGAUUCUUAUGGGAAGCUUAGAUUAAAAGUUAUUGCUUAAUUUUAAUUAGCUGUCACACAAAACUAGAAAUUUACAUGGGUGCAUUGGCUGAAUUGAGACAAACAUCUCCGAAAAAGUUAAAGUUCUUUCUAAAUCUGCUUAGUUAACACAUUAUUUAAGUCCAAAUAUUUGCAUAGUAAUUGAAUUUUUGUAACAAUAGGUUGCUGUAAAAAGGUGCAAGGCAGGCAGUACACUCUGAGUGUUGAAGCUUGAUUUAAAAAUCACUCACAAUCUUUAUUGCUUACUUCUACAUUCAGUUCAUUAAUGGUGCCGAGACUGAUUAAAUAAAAUAUAGCGACUGAACUGUACUAGGCACAAAUACCCACUGGCAUUUCUCUUUCCCUUGCAGCAAAAUUUCUACCAAAAAUUUACAUUAUAACAUUAAGAACUUUCAUUUUGGAAAGAUUUAUUUUCUAACAUGAAGUGCAAAUGUUUCCAGUGCAAUGUACAAUCAACAAAUCAAAGGCAUACAGCACUCAUGACUAAGUCACUUAUUAAAUGCCUACAAUAUUUCAGCAUUAAUGCUACUUAUUUACUGGGAGGAGUCCUCCCAGUAAGGGGCCAUCCAUAAAGCGCGUACGCACGAAAUGCCCCCUCCCCAUACAUAUGGUGUACACAGUGGUUCCAACCCCCCCUACACAUACGGUACGCAUCAGAGUAAUAAUUAUAAAAAAGUCAUCAGUUGUCGACUUUUACUGUGGUUGACUGGUUUUUAGAUGCA